rnacentral:rRNA from 1 species
UACGGGGGGAGCAAGCGUUGUUCGGAUUUACUGGGCGUAAAGGGCGCGUAGGCGGCGCAACAAGUCACUUGUGAAAUCUCCGGGCUUAACUCGGAACGGUCAAGUGAUACUGUCGGACUAGAGUACAGAAGGGGCAACUGGAAUUCUCGGGUGUAGCGGUGAAAUGCGUAGAUAUCGAGAGGAACACCUGCGGCGAAGGCGGGUUGCUGGGCUGAUACUGACGCUGAGGCGCGAAAGCGUGGGGAGCAAACAGG